rnacentral:tRNA from 2 species
UAGCUCAGUCGGUAGAGCGACGGACUGUUAAUCCGCAGGUCCCUGGUUCGAGCCC